rnacentral:lncRNA from 1 species
CUUUUACAGAGUUUAGGAACACGAGUCAGCAGCUUCAGAUGAUAGCUUUCUUAGAAGAGCAGCAGUACUGCCCUGACCACAAAGUACACAGCAGGGCAUUCUUGAGCUUUGUGUUUAUUCUCUAGCUGUGCAUGUUUUAUUAAUUGGUCUGCAAAGCUCAGUUCUGCUCCCGAGGCAGGCAUUCUACUGUCCCAGAGAACAGCUGGACUUCCUCAGAGUCUGCAAGCAAGCCAGAGGGGGAAAGCUUGCUACGGAAACCUUGCCCAUUGUUUCCCCGUGCCUAGCACAGCGGUGUGCAACUCAAAACUUUUAUUCAGUGGAUGGAUGGAUGAAUGGAUUGAUGACUACACGUUUGUGAGGAAGGUGUGGAAUCCAGUGGAAGAUGCAGCACAAGCAUGAAAGGAACAACUCUAGGCAACAGUUGUCGACUUGCAUAUCAAGUGGGUCGGAACAGAAGCAGUUAGUUUCCGUAAGGCAGAAGGACUGUAUUCCGGUGAGUCAUGAGUUUCCAUGGGUGUUGGUCUGAGCUGUUUUGGGCCUCUGGUCCA